rnacentral:rRNA from 1 species
UGGUGCCAGCAGCCGCGGUAAUUCCAGCUCCAAUAGCGUAUAUUAAAGUUGUUGCAGUUAAAAAGCUCGUAGUUGGAUUUCUGUUAAUAAUUUAUAUUGAUAUACAUUUUUGUAUUUAAUAUGAUAUUAACAUAAUUCAUAUUACUAAUUUUUUUUAGUAUAUGAAAUUUUACUUUGAGAAAAUUAGAGUGCUUAAAGCAGGCAAUUGCCUUGUAUACUACAGCAUGGAAUAAUAAUAAAAGAUUUUUAUCUUUUUUUUUAUUGGUUCUAAGAUAAAAAUAAUGAUUAAUAGGGACAGUUGGGGGCAUUUGUAUUUAACAGUUAGAGGUGAAAUUCUUAGAUUUGUUAAAGACAAACUAAUGCGAAAGCAUUUGCCAAGGAUGUUUUCAUUAAUCAAGAACGAAAGUUAGGGGAUCGAAGACGAUCAGAUACCGUCGUAGU